GACAGGGGAUGCAAGCGUUAUCCGGAAUUAUUGGGCGUAAAGCGUCUGCAGGUGGAGCAGGAAGUCUUUUGUUAAACCUCUGGGCUUAACCCAGAACCUGCAAAAGAAACUCCUGUUCUUGAGGAUGGUAGGGGUAAAGGGAACUUCCAGUGGAGCGGUGAAAUGUGUAGAGAUUGGAAAGAACACCAAAGGCGAAAGCGCUUUCCUGGGCCAUACCUGACACUGAGAGACGAAAGCUAGGGUAGCAAACGGG
rnacentral:rRNA from 1 species